GAUCCUGGCUCAGGACGAACGCUGGCGGCGUGCUUAACACAUGCAAGUCGAACGAGAAUCUGUGGAUCGAGGAUUCGUCCAAGUGAAGCAGAGGACAGUGGCGGACGGGUGAGUAACGCGUGAGGAACCUGCCUUUCAGAGGGGGACAACAGUUGGAAACGACUGCUAAUACCGCAUGAUACAUUUGGGUGGCAUCAUCUGAAUGUACAAAGAUUUAUCGCUGAAAGGAUCGG
rnacentral:rRNA from 1 species